AGUUUGAUCCUGGCUCAGGAUGAACGCUAGCUACAGGCUUAACACAUGCAAGUCGAGGGGAAACGAUAUUGGAAGCUUGCUUCCGAUAGGCGUCGACCGGCGCACGGGUGAGUAACGCGUAUCCAACCUGCCCACCACUUGGGGAUAACCUUGCGAAAGUAAGACUAAUACCCAAUGAUAUCUCUAGAAGACAUCUGAAGGAGAUUAAAGAUUUAUCGGUGAUGGAUGGGGAUGCGUCUGAUUAGCUUGUUGGCGGGGUAACGGCCCACCAAGGCUACGAUCAGUAGGGGUUCUGAGAGGAAGGUCCCCCACAUUGGAACUGAGACACGGUCCAAACUCCUGCGGGAGGCAGCAGUGAGGAAUAUUGGUCAAUGGGCGAGAGCCUGAACCAGCCAAGUAGCGUGCAGGAUGACGGCCCUAUGGGUUGUAAACUGCUUUUAUAAGGGAAUAAAGUGAGCCUCGUGAGGCUUUUUGCAUGUACCUUAUGAAUAAGGACCGGCUAAUUCCGUGCCAGCAGCCGCGGUAAUACGGAAGGUCCGGGCGUUAUCCGGAUUUAUUGGGUUUAAAGGGAGCGUAGGCCGGAGAUUAAGCGUGUUGUGAAAUGUAGAUGCUCAACAUCUGCACUGCAGCGCGAACUGGUUUCCUUGAGUACGCACAAAGUGGGCGGAAUUCGUGGUGUAGCGGUGAAAUGCUUAGAUAUCACGAAGAACUCCGAUUGCGAAGGCAGCUCACUGGAGCGCAACUGACGCUGAAGCUCGAAAGUGCGGGUAUCGAACAGGAUUAGAUACCCUGGUAGUCCGCACGGUAAACGAUGGAUGCCCGCUGUUGGUCUGAAUAGGUCAGCGGCCAAGCGAAAGCAUUAAGCAUCCCACCUGGGGAGUACGCCGGCAACGGUGAAACUCAAAGGAAUUGACGGAAGGGCGU
rnacentral:rRNA from 1 species